AUGAGAUCAAAUGGUAUUGUUUCCGAUCCAAAAAUGGAUAGCAAAAAGAUUGAAUUUCCUGCUGGUUUUCGAUUCCAUCCUACCGACGUAGAACUCAUAAAUCAAUACCUUGUCAAGAAGGUUGACGACAAUAGUUUCUCUGCCAUAGCUAUUGCUGAAGUUGAUAUGAAUAAGUGUGAACCAUGGGACUUGCCAGAGUUGGCAAAAAUGGGAGAUACAGAAUGGUAUUAUUUUUGUGUGAGGGACAAAAAAUAUUUAAGUGGUCAAAGAACAAAUAGAGCUACUAAUGCUGGUUAUUGGAAGGCGACAGGAAGAGACAAGGAAAUUUACGAUAAAAAAUGUAUUGAUUGGGAUGAAGAAAACAUUGGUUUUCUA